rnacentral:rRNA from 1 species
CCCGCUCAGAAACUUAAAGGAAUUGACGGGGGCCCGGCACAAGCGGUGGAGCAUGUGGUUUAAUUUCGACGAUACGCGAAGAACCUUACCCGGGUUUGACAUUGUAUCGAAGCAUCCAGAGAUGGAUGUGUCUCUUCGGAGACGGUAUGACAGGUGCUGCAUGGCUGUCGUCAGCUCGUGCCGUGAGGUGUCGGGUUAAGUCCCAUAACGAGCGCAACCCCUACCUUUAGUUGCCAUCAGGUUAAGCUGGGGACUCUAAAGGAACUGCCUACGCAAGUAGUGAGGAAGGCGGGGAUGACGUCAAAUCAGCACGGCCCUUACGUCCAGGGCUACACACGUGCUACAAUGGCCGAUACAGAGGGCAGCUACCUGGUGACAGGAUGCAAAUCUCCAAAGUCGGUCUCAGUUCGGAUCGGAGUCUGCAACCCGACUCCGUGAAGUUGGAUUCGCUAGUAAUCGCGCAUCAGCCAUGGCGCGGUGAAUACGUUCCCGGGCCUU